rnacentral:tRNA from 1 species
GAUUUUGUGGUGUAGUAGUCAGCCCGCUGGGUCCGUAUUCCAGAGGUCCGUGGUUCGAGUCCCGGCGAAAACG